AGAUUCUGUCGUGGCGAUUUGUGACGGAUUGCGGGCCACGUUAAAUGACUCCGCUAAAAGGUCAGGAGAGAACCCCG
rnacentral:ncRNA from 2 species